UACGUAGGGGGCUAGCGUUGUCCGGAAUCAUUGGGCGUAAAGAGCGUGUAGGCGGCCCGGUAAGUCCGCUGUGAAAGUCCAGGGCUCAACCCUGGGAUGCCGGUGGAUACUGUCGGGCUCGAGUCCGGAAGAGGCGAGUGGAAUUCCUGGUGUAGCGGUGAAAUGCGUAGAUAUCGCUUGGAACGCCGACGGUGAAAACAGCUCGCUGGGGAUUUGCUGACGCUGAGACACGAAAGCCAGGGGAGCGAACGGG
rnacentral:rRNA from 1 species